rnacentral:tRNA from 1 species
UCUCCCUUCGUCUAAUGGUAGGACAAGAGACUCUGAAUCUCUGAAUCUAGGUUCGAACCCUAGGGGGAGAACCA